rnacentral:misc_RNA from 1 species
UGCCUCCAAUUAUAUCUUCCAAAUCGUCCACACUAACAAUCCAUCCUUCUCCUCCAAAGGGAGAUUUUAGUAAAUAACCAAAAAUAACACUUGGGCUAAGGGUCAAGUUGGUAAUUUUUCUUACAUCCCCCCCCCCCGGAGACCAGGUAUCAUAUACGCCCCCAAAAUAAAGAGCCUUGAAUACUAGAAGAAAAGCACCUAUACCUAGCAAGAUUAAG